UCUCUUGUGGUUUACAUGGCAAUAUAUCUGUUUGCAAUGCAGAAGACCCAGGUUCGAUUCCUGGGUUGGGAA
rnacentral:tRNA from 1 species